rnacentral:rRNA from 1 species
GACGAACGCUGGCGGCGUGCCUAAUACAUGCAAGUCGAGCGAUGAAGAUUGGUGCUUGCACCAAUUUGAAGAGCAGCGAACGGGUGAGUAACGCGUGGGGAAUCUGCCUUUGAGCGGGGGACAACAUUUGGAAACGAAUGCUAAUACCGCAUAACACCUUUAAACAUAAGUUUUAAGUUUGAAAGAUGCAAUUUCAUCCCUCAAAGAUGAUCCCGCGUUGUUUUAGCUAGUUGGUGAGGUAAAGGCUCACCAAGGCGAUGAUACAUAGUCGACCUGGGAAGGUGAUCGGCCACAAUGGGACUGGGACACGGCCCAAGCUUCUUCGGGAGGCAGCAGUAGGGAAACUUUGGCAAAUGGGGAAAGGCUGGCCGAGCAAAGCCGGGUGGGUGAAGAAGGGUUUCGGAUCGUAAAACUCUGUUGGUAGGGAAGAAAGUUGGUGAGGGUGGAAAGCUCAUCAAGUGACGGUAACUAACCAGAAAGGGACGGCUAACUACGUG